rnacentral:rRNA from 1 species
UAAUACGGAGGAUCCGAGCGUUAUCCGGAUUUAUUGGGUUUAAAGGGUGCGUAGGCGGAUUUGUAAGUCAGUGGUGAAAUCCUGCAGCUUAACUGUAGAACUGCCAUUGAUACUGCAAGUCUUGAGUACAUAUGAUGUGGGCGGAAUGUGCAGUGUAGCGGUGAAAUGCUUAGAUAUUGCACAGAACACCGAUUGCGAAGGCAGCUCACAAAACUGUAACUGACGCUGAGGCACGAAAGCGUGGGGAGUGAACAGGAUUAGAUACCCUGGUAAUCCACGCCUUAAACGAUGAUUACUCGAUGUGUGCGAUAUACAGCACGCGUCCUAGCGAAAGCGUUAAGUAAUCCACCUGGGGAGUACGAUCGCAAGGUUG